rnacentral:other from 1 species
UGUCCUCUGCCGUGUCCGACAGCGUGCAAAACAUUCGCCUUGUCCCAUAAACACGACCCGGGAACCUGCGGUAGCCGCGGUGCGCAUGUCCGCCCUGUUGCGGAAAGCCUGAAGGGGCUGCACAGGUACCCACUUGAUCCCAGGGAUCAAGGUCGUUUCGCCCGCAUCGGCAUGGCGGAGGAUAU